rnacentral:rRNA from 11 species
AAUAAAGGACUAAAUACUUUCAAAGCACCAGAUCCUGCCUGAUCUUGGAAGCGAAGUAAGGUGAGCCCUGGUUAGUAGUUAGAUGCGAGACUGCCAUCAAAUACCAGUUCUGUGGGCU